UUACUGAGUGAGGGCUCACGCCCGACCUCCAACCCUUUGUGAACACAUCUUGUUGCUUCGGGGGCGACCCUGCCGGCACUACGUCGCCGGGCGCCCCCGAAGGUCUCCAAACACUGCAUCUUUGCGUCGGAGUUUAAACAAAUUAAACAAAACUUUCAACAACGGAUCUCUUGGUUCUGGCAUCGAUGAAGAACGCAGCGAAAUGCGAUAAGUAAUGUGAAUUGCAGAAUUCAGUGAAUCAUCGAAUCUUUGAACGCACAUUGCGCCCUUUGGUAUUCCGAAGGGCAUGCCUGUUCGAGCGUCAUUUCACCACUCAAGCCUGGCUUGGUAUUGGGCGUCGCGGCUCCGCGCGCCUUAAAGUCUCCGGCUGAGCCAUUCGUCUCUAAGCGUUGUGGAUUUUCUAAUUCGCUUCGGAGUGCGGGUGGCCGCGGCCGUUAAAUCUUUCUUAAGGUUGACCUCGGAUCAGGUAGGGAUACCCGCUGAACUUAAGCAUAUCAAUAAGCGGAGGAAAAGAAACCAACAGGGAUUGCCCUAGUAACGGCGAGUGAAGCGGCAACAGCUCAAAUUUGAAAUCUGG
rnacentral:rRNA from 1 species